AUCAAAUUGAAUAUAUCGAUAUAUAGAAUUCUUUGCGGCAUAAGGAAGUGUGAACGUAUAUUAUUUUUGGUAUAUUUAAGUUCUCAUAUUUGAAACCCAAAACGAAGUAUUUUUUUAAAUUUAUUUGGAAAGUUCAAAUGACGUAAAGGGUUGCAAUGUACUUUAAGUAUUUAUUUUCGAUAUCGAAUUCAAAGUAUCUGGCGGGCUAAUUAAGGCUAAACAACUAGGAAGAAAUCUUAAAUCAACAACUUAAAUGCUAACGUUAAUUAACGCCAGUCCUUAGGUGCUUGUCCUGGUGUCCGUCAAACUUACCAACAUGAUCAGCACCCAGCUGAAUAAUUUGAUGGCUGUCAACCUGUGCGACAUGAUUUCUGAAUGAUUAGUAUCUAUAAUCCGGAAUACGUUCAGAAUAUAAAUUCUUAGGUAUUGUCCGAAAGCCUCAAGCUUUUCUGAAUUUUCGUCAGCUCCUGAACGUGGACGGCGUACACAUUGGAAGGUGGAUUGUCCUCCUCCAUGACUGGCAUCUCAUGCUCCCAAUUAUUCCCAUACGUUCGAGUAUAUAUGGACGUGAAGGCAACAUCCCAAUGGUAUUUUUGCACAUUCUUGGAGGUCGUACUGGACGGGAUAUCUCUGCGAGGCGUACAUCAUUGCCUGCUCGUUGGCAACGGACAUCAAGUUGUGAUCCAGGUUACGGAUCGGCAGCAUAAAGCUUUUGCCACCGCCUUCCACAUGCCAAUUGAGGGGAAGUGGUACUCUACCUCCUGCUCAUGACCAAAAACGGCUGCCUGUAGUACUUCUGGUGUCCAAAUCGUUCCUCGAUCCAAUUUCCGCUUUUGCGACGAUUGCCUAACCAGAUUGAACGUGUGGUUGAUGUCCCUUCUUCUCCUCGGAAGUCCCAUUAUGCUGCACCGGGAACAACUCGCUUGACUAAUAAUGUUUGUGGAAAAUUUGUUGGAAUUGCUUUGGAAGUUCUUCAGGACAUUAAAAUGAAAGUGAUAUCAAAGGCUUCAAAUAAAGCUCCCUGCAGGCCUGUUUGAUGUAAUUAUGAAAUGGUUUAACGUCUUUCAGAAAAGCUGUCCCCAGGAAAUCCCUGUACAAUUCUGAUCAGGAGAGAAAAAAAAACUUGAAAUUAAGGUGAAAAUAAACUUCUUUCCAAAUUUACCGUUAUAUUUCGUCGGCACACAACCUUUCGCAUGAACGAGCACGCACUGAACAUUUAGUGACCGAGCACACCCGAACCCCACCCGACGGUUCCUCCUUAUAUAGAUACUUUAUGCGGCUGACAAGCCACAAGUUGUCAAAUAACGUAAAGUUCAC
rnacentral:lncRNA from 1 species